AGUACCUUUAAAUUCAGUCCUGUGAGGCUGGCAAGGUUGGCGGAAUACAACGUUAUACUGUUUCUGUAUCCUUUUGUGUUGGAUGGACGGAUAUAGCACCUUGCCCUUGUACAGGCAAGGUGCUUUUUUAU
rfam:Bacillus thermoamylovorans genome assembly, strain 1A1, contig: A1A_CC102